CGAGAGCAACAUGAACGAUCUGGUCUCAGAGUAUCAGCAAUACCAAGACGCAACCGCAGAUGAAGAAGGAGAGUAUGAAGAAGAGGAGGAGGAAGAAGUGGAGUAUCAAGACUGAAAAUGCAGCUGAGACUAGCGUUUUUUUUAAAUAAAAUCACCAUAUCAUGUUCUUUUAUCCCUGCCCUUAGUUGUUGUUGAGUUUGUUUAUGUACUUGUUGUUGUGAUUGUCUUGUGUGUAAAAGUGAGGUUGGAGCUCGAUAUUGUUUAUUUUGUUGUGGU
rnacentral:lncRNA from 1 species